UAGGGAAUAUUGCGCAAUGGCCGAAAGGCUGACGCAGCGACGCCGCGUGUGGGAGGAAGCCCUUCGGGGUGUAAACCACUGUCAGAAGGGAAGAACUCCGGGUUCCUGAAUAGGGAAUUCGGCUGACGGUACCUUCAGAGGAAGCGCCGGCUAACUCCGUGCCAGCAGCCGCGGUAAGACGGAGGGCGCGAGCGUUGUUCGGAAUCACUGGGCGUAAAGCGCACGCAGGCGGUCCGUUAAGUCCUCUGUGAAAUUCCGGGGCUCAACCCCGGAGGUGCAGUGGAUACUGACAGACUGGAGACCGGUAGAGGCCAGCGGAAUUCCUGGUGUAGCGGUGGAAUGCGUAGAUAUCAGGAGGAACACCCGUGGCGAAGGCGGCUGGCUGGGCCGGUUCUGACGCUCAUGUGCGAAAGCGUGGGGAGCAAACAGGAUUAGAUACCCCCGUAGUCC
rnacentral:rRNA from 1 species